CGAGCGUUAUUCGGAAUUAUUGGGCGUAAAGGGCGCGUAGGCGGCUGUACAAGUCAAAGGUGAAAUCCCUCGGCUCAACUGAGGAACUGCCUUUGAAACUGUACGGCUUGAGGCCGGGAGGGGGUAGCGGAAUUCCCAGUGUAGCGGUGAAAUGCGUAGAUAUUGGGAGAAACACCAGUGGCGAAGGCGGCUACCUGGACCGGUUCUGACGCUGAUGCGCGAAAGCGUGGGUAGCAAACAGG
rnacentral:rRNA from 1 species